CACUCCUGCGGGAGGCAGCAGUGGGGAAUUUUGGACAAUGGGCGAAAGCCUGAUCCAGCAAUGCCGCGUGAGUGAAGAAGGCCUUCGGGUUGUAAAGCUCUUUUGUCAGGGAAGAAACGGUGAAAGCUAAUAUCUUUUGGUAAUGACGGUACCUGAAGAAUAAGCACCGGCUAACUACGUGCCAGCAGCCGCGGUAAUACGUAGGGUGCAAGCGUUAAUCGGAAUUACUGGGCGUAAAGCGUGCGCAGGCGGUUUUGUAAGUCUGAUGUGAAAUCCCCGGGCUCAACCUGGGAAUUGCAUUGGAGACUGCAAGGCUAGAAUCUGGCAGAGGGGGGUAGAAUUCCACGUGUAGCAGUGAAAUGCGUAGAUAUGUGGAGGAACACCGAUGGCGAAGGCAGCCCCCUGGGUCAAGAUUGACGCUCAUGCACGAAAGCGUGGGGAGCAAACAGGAUUAGAUACCCCGGUAGUCCC
rnacentral:rRNA from 1 species